UCUUUGGUGGCUCAGUGGUAAAGAGUCUGCCUGCAAUGCAGGAGACUCAGGUUUGAUUCCUGGGUUGGGAA
rnacentral:tRNA from 1 species